rnacentral:other from 1 species
UGUCCCCUGCGGUGUGCGUUUAGGCUGUUGUUUCUCUGAACCAACGUGAUCACUCCAGGUCGCCGACUCAAGUAACGUCGUUGUGCGCGUCCGACAUGGACGCACCUAAGGCGUUCGGAAGGUGGCCGCUCUUGAACCAUACGGUUCAGGAUAUCGGUCUGACGGCAUGCGCGGGGGGCAC